GACGAACGCUGGCGGCGUGCUUAACACAUGCAAGUCGAGCGGUAAGGCCUUUCGGGGUACCCGAGCGGCGAACGGGUGAGUAACACGUGGGUGAUCUGCCCUGCACUUCGGGAUAAGCCUGGGAAACUGGGUCUAAUACCGGAUAUGACUUCCUAUCGCAUGGUGGGUGGUGGAAAGAUUUAUCGGUGCAGGAUGGGCCCGCGGCCUAUCAGCUUGUUGGUGGGGUAAUGGCCUACCAAGGCGACGACGGGUAGCCGACCUGAGAGGGUGACCGGCCACACUGGGACUGAGACACGGCCCAGACUCCUACGGGAGGCAGCAGUGGGGAAUAUUGCACAAUGGGCGAAAGCCUGAUGCAGCGACGCCGCGUGAGGGAUGACGGCCUUCGGGUUGUAAACCUCUUUCAGCAGGGACGAAGCGCAAGUGACGGUACCUGCAGAAGAAGCACCGGCUAACUACGUG
rnacentral:rRNA from 1 species